CAAAGAUACAUUUUCUCUCUCCUUUGGGCUAUUUAUAAUUUUUCCAAAAAGUAGUUUGAAAUUUCAUGUGCGAUCUGAUCGGGACGUCAUUCGGGCUCGUCUUCAUGAUUCAACAGAUCAAUGUUUGCUCCAUAGCUCGCCCUUCCUUGACUUUAGGCUAGUGUUUGAACCUCAGUUGAUAAACUCGAUCGAGUCAGUCUUUCCCAUUCGGUGAAUCACUUAUUACCACCUUGUUAAUUCAACCAUUCAACCUUCAUUUUAACUCGAAAGUUUGUCACCUUUGACGAUGGAACUUCUAGCUCUCCCAAUUGUUUCGAUGAAUUUCCAUUUACA
rnacentral:lncRNA from 1 species